AACGCACAUUGCGCCCCCUGGUAUUCCGGGGGGCAUGCCUGUUCGAGCGUCAUUUCACCACUCAAGCCUCGCUUGGUAUUGGGCGUCGCGAGUCUCUCGCGCGCCUCAAAGUCUCCGGCUAGGCGGUUCGUCUCCCAGCGUUGUGGCAACUAUUCGCAGAGGAGUUCGAGUCGUCGUGGCCGUUAAAUCUUUCAAAGGUUGACCUCGGAUCAGGUAGGGAUACCCGCUGAACUUAA
rnacentral:misc_RNA from 1 species